CCUCUGUCUGUUUAGAAAGUUGGGCCCUAAUCAGUUUGGGGCCUGCUCUCCCUUCCCUGAACUUUCUAAACCUCAAGCCCUACAAAUAGUGGCUGAGAAAGCCUGCAGGGGGGCUAGCUAAGGCCAAACAUCCUCUGCUGUAAAUCUUCGGACUUCUCAUUUUUUCCUUAAUCAACAUUCUCUGUCUUUCAGCCUGUGGGUAUUGGCCCAAGGACUGGCCAGGUUCCUUUCAGGGGAGGUUAUACCGCAGAGGCCUGGAUGGCCUCUGUUAGCACUUUCUGGUAACAGGGCCUGCUGAAGCCUGGUGUUGCAGCUCAGGUCUUCAAAGCAGAGUGGGGUUUAGUCCUCCUUCCUAAAGGCCUGAUGGGGGUGUGGGCUGGGGGAGCAUCCCUACUCUUUACAGUCACAAGCUUGUCGGCUUCCCACGGUCAGCACUGAGCAGCCUUAACCUCAGAAUGGGUAGAAAUCCCACUGUCUCCCCUCACGGCUGACCACAACCACCACAGAGUUCCCUCCCCCAGAGAACCCAGGAUGGGGCUGGAUUUCAGGCCUGGAAUGGUCUUGAUUGUCAGGUUGGAUUGCAGCUAAAGUGGAAAACCUUGAGAACAGGGCAGACUGUGGGUCUGAGAAUAAGGUCUCUCUUCCAGGUAGACAUUUCCCAGGGAGACGACAAUGGAGGGUAGAAGCCAUGUCCAAUCAGAAACCAUAUGCUCUUGGUGGAGGGGACUUCAGAACACAGGUGAGGAGAAGUUUCCAGAGAAUGUCCUGCCUGGAGCAGAACACAGACAAACUGGACCUGUGGAGGAGCUAAGAUGACCAGGAGGCCCAGAAGGAAGACUCCAAGAGGUCCUUUGACAUAGGGCAGGCCUGCUGGGAAAGAGUGGAGCUCUUCAGAGACAAGGCUCGGCUUAAUCGUGAUAUAAGUGAGAACAAGGCAUCAAUGGACUAGGGACCAUAAACUCACCCAGGGACAUUUUGAAGCACAGAGAAGAGUCCAGUCAAGGCCAGCUUCCAUAUAUCCAAGUGUUUAAAAGUUAAGUCAUCAAACAAGCAAAGUCUUCAAUCUCUUCUCCUGACUUGACAGACAUCUUCAUGACUUCCUGAAGGUCAAGUGUGAAUUGAGAAUUUGGAGUCACAAGAGCUCCAGAUGAAACUGGGUGGUGGUGGCACACGCCUUUAAUCCCAGUACUUGGGAGGCAGAGGCAGGUGGAUCUCUGUGAGUUCGAGACCAGCCUGGUCUACAAGAGCUAGUUCCUGGAUAGCCUCCAAAGCCACAGAGAAACACUGCCUUGAAAACAACAACAACAACAACAACAACAACAACAACAACAAAAACCAAAAAACUCCAGAUGGAAUGUGGGAUUCAGCCCCUAACCCUACCUAGUACUAGAAGAGAUCUUUAAAUUUUUAAAAUUACAUUUGUAUUUGUUUGGGGUAUGGGUGUGGGUGUUUGUGGCGGGGGGGUAUAUGCACCAUGGUACACAUGUAGAGGUCAAAGGACAACUUAAGGGCUUCUUCUUUCCAUCAGUCCUGGGCAUAGAACUCAGGUCUUCAGUCUUGGCGGCAGGUUCCUUUAUCUGAUGAGCCAUCUCAUCAG
rnacentral:lncRNA from 1 species